GACUCUGUAGUUCAGUUGGUUAGAGCGCUGCACUGGAAUCGCAGGGUCACAGGUUUGAUUCCUGUCAGAGGGU
rnacentral:tRNA from 1 species